UUUGAUGAACCCUGUAGAAACACAGUUGAUACGUUGAAAGAGAAGUUGAUUACAAUACCUAUCAUGCAGCCACCAGAUUGGAACUUACCAUUUAAGAUCAAAUGCGAUGCCAAUAACUAGUCGUAGGUACAGUUCUCAGGUAACAAAUGAGGAAAGAUCCACAUGUCAUCUAUUGCGCUUCAAAAACUCUAGAUAGUGCUCAUGUGAAUUACUCCACCACUGAAAAAGAGCUACUAGCUGUUGUGCUUGCCCUAGAAAAAUUUUGUUCCUAUUUACUGGGAACUAAUGUUAUUGUG
rnacentral:lncRNA from 1 species